GAUGAACGCUGGCGGCGUGCUUAACACAUGCAAGUCGAACGAUGAAGCCCAGCUUGCUGGGUGGAUUAGUGGCGAACGGGUGAGUAACACGUGAGUAACCUGCCCUUAACUCUGGGAUAAGCCGGGGAAACUGGGUCUAAUACCGGAUAGGAGCGCCUACCGAAUGGUGGGUGUUGGAAAGAUUUAUCGGUUUUGGAUGGACUCGCGGCCUAUCAGCUUGUUGGUGAGGUAAUGGCUCACCAAGGCGACGACGGGUAGCCGGCCUGAGAGGGUGACCGGCCCCACUGGGACUGAGACACGGCCCAGACUCCUACGGUAGGCAGCAGUGGGGAAUAUUGCACAAUGGGCGAAAGCCUGAUGCAGCGACGCCGCGUGUGGGAUGACGGCCUUCGGGUUGUAAACCUCUUUCGGUAGGGAAGAAGCGAAAGUGACGGUACCUGCAGAAGAAGCACCGGCUAACUACGUG
rnacentral:rRNA from 1 species